GGAAACCUCUCCCUUUCCCCUCAGCAUGGCUGGCUCAGGAAUUCGGGGAGUUGAAGUCCACGUGUCAUAAAAGAGUCAAGGUUGCCUACCCCUGGCCUUGGGCAACACUGGGACCCCAUCUCCUUCCAAAGCUUUUGGGUAAUUCAGGCCUACUGUAUUCAACAGCUUACAGGGAGGGGAGAGGCUGCUGUUAUCGCCAGAGACAGAAUCCUGACCUUGGUCAUGCCAGGGUGUGUCAGAAUCCUAGACACUUCUUUUUAAAGAAAAAGAAACAACCCACUUUAAUAACAAAUAACUACUUUAAACUGAGCGCUAAUUUCUGUCGUAACAGAAAACGCUUAUCAUAAAAACUUGUCACAACAAAGACUAAAACACGAAGAACGAUUGCAGGAGCUGCUAUGGCUAGAGUAGAGAAAAGAAAGACUAAGGGGGACAUGAUAGCCGUGUUCCAAUAUUCGAGGAGUUGCCACAAAGAAGAGGGGAUCGACCUAUUCUCCAAAGCACCUGAAGGCAAGACAAGAAGUAAUGGACGGAAACUAACCCAGGAGGGAACCAACCUGGAAUUAAGGAGACACUUCUAACCGUGGGAACAAAUUAACCAUGGAACUGCUUUGCCUUCAGAGGUUGUGAGUGCUUCAUCUCUGGAGGGAGGAACACUAAAAAAUGGAUUUAAAUGACAGGAAAACAGAUAAAUCCAGCUGAAUGAGGAAUUUCCUGAGAAGAGCAACUGGAGAAUGGAAACAAUGACUCUUGAUUUAGAAGGGGCCUGAUGCUCUAAAUCAGGUGUUGUGAUCCUUUCUCCUAUCAGUUCCCUUAAUUCUACAACUUAGAGAUCGCAGUUUGUAAAUUAUACAAGUAGGAUUCAUAUCACACGAGUGGUUUUUUUUUUUGUAAAAAAAAAAAAGGUGCCGGAACUCACACACAUCAUACAACCUGUCUUGCCUUACCCUACAAGGUUUAUCUUUUGUAGUUGAAAAAAAAAACAUUCAAUUUUUAGUAUAUCUAAAAGACUAGGAUUUUGUUCAAGGUUAAGUGAAUACUAGUAUCAAUGUUACCAUGCAGUGUAGUUGUGGCUCUGAUCAGACAACUUAACAGACCAACUGAAAGUCUAGCGGCUGCACACAGCAUGCUCAGAAUGGGACAAUUUGAUGUGGCCAAUUCGCCGUGGCCAACUCACCAAGGACACCUCUCAGCAAGACAACGCAUCACGGGACAACUUGCUGCAGGACAAUUCAACAAUUCAAGUAUUUAAAGCCAUCAGGCGUGGUGGGACGGCCCUUCAUCUUUUUCCAGAAUACUGCUAUUUCCCCAGGAAGAUCUUCAUUUCUCUUGAGCUCUGAUCUCCUGAGAAUACAGUGAACCGUCUACUGGUUUUUCA